rnacentral:snRNA from 1 species
GGGUGUGAGGGUGAUCAGCCUGUGACAUCUGUCACCCCAUGGAUUGCCAGGGUUGAUCUGGGUGAUCUGGCCGGCGGUGUGCCCCCAUCCUCCCUCACCACUCCAUGUGUGUCCCUCCCCAGGCCGUGUGCUCAGUUGAGGAGUACAAAGACCUUCACUGAAUAGAGAAGGAUCAGCCUCCAGCCGAAGGGAGACAGUAGCUGCGAGCCCUUGCUGGAACCUCCAAACAAGCUCUCCAAGGUGUAAGACCGAAAGCCUCGUAUAGCAAACGGAGCUCUGUUCCCAGAGAGUCUGCCUUAACUC